rnacentral:tRNA from 1 species
AGAAGCGUGCCCGAACCAACAAGGAUUAUUUUGAUAAAAUAAACAUAGAGGGCCCCACCCUCUCACUUCUA